CCUACGGGAGGCAGCAGUGGGGAAUAUUGGGCAAUGGGCGCAAGCCUGACCCAGCAACGCCGCGUGAAGGAAGAAGGCUUUCGGGUUGUAAACUUCUUUUGUCAGGGACGAAGCAAGUGACGGUAGUUGACGAAUAAGCCACGGCUAACUACGUGCCAGCAGCCGCGGUAAUACGUAGGUGGCAAGCGUUCUCCGGCUUUACUGGGUGUAAAGGGCGUGUAGGCGGGGAAGCAAGUCAGAUGUGAAAACCACGGGCUCAACCUGUGGCCUGCAUUUGAGACUGGUUUUCUUGAGUGCUGGAGCGGCAAGCGGAAUUCCGGGUGUAGCGGUGAAAUGCAUAGAUAUACGGAGGAACCCCAGUGGCGAAGGCAGAUUGCUGGACAGUAACUGACGCUGAGGCGCGAAAGCGUGGGGAGCAAACAGGAUUAGAUACCCCUGUAGUC
rnacentral:rRNA from 1 species